rnacentral:rRNA from 1 species
CAGUCGCCGCGGUAAUACGGAGGGGGCUAGCGUUGUUCGGAAUUACUGGGCGUAAAGCGCACGUAGGCGGCUUGGUAAGUUAGAGGUGAAAGCCCGGAGCUCAACUCCGGAAUUGCCUUUAAGACUGCCGAGCUAGUAGGUGAGAGAGGUAAGUGGAAUUCCGAGUGUAGAGGUGAAAUUCGUAGAUAUUCGGAAGAACACCAGUGGCGAAGGCGGCUUACUGGCUCAUUCUAGACGCUGAGGUGCGAAAGCGUGGGGAGCAAACAGGAUUAGAUACCCCUGUAGUCCCUGUCUCUUAUAA